AAAUCAAUGGUACAGUGACAACCAAUUUUAUCAUAAACAUAUGUAUUGGCUUUGUAUCAGUCCACAAUUUGUGGUAUCAAAACAAAGAAGUUAGGUAUGGACAAAAUCUUUUUUUUUUUGGUGAGGGUUUUGAUAAGAGAGUUCGUGUCCAUGUUUUGUGGCAUAAUUUUAGUAACAUGAGUUCAUGUCCACGUAUUGUUGUAUGAUAUUAUGGAAUCAAAACCGAGAGUUUGUCCAUAUUAUCUACUAUAAACACAUUAACAUCGCAUUUCCAAACAUUACUCAUCACUCAUCCACACAUCACCCAUCCACAAAUCACCCAACCACACAUCACCCGUCCACAA
rnacentral:lncRNA from 1 species